rnacentral:tRNA from 1 species
GGUGGUAUAGCUCAGUGGUAGAGGGCAGGCUUAGCUUGCAUGAGGUCCUGAGUUCAAUUCCCAGUAUCUCCA